GCCCGGUUAGCUCAAUCGGUAGAGCGUGAGACUCUUACGAGUUCACCAUCUCAAGGUUGCGGGUUCGACCCCCGCAUCGGGCU